GAUGAACGCUGGCGGCGUGCCUAAUACAUGCAAGUCGAGCGAACAGACGAGGAGCUUGCUCCUCUGACGUUAGCGGCGGACGGGUGAGUAACACGUGGAUAACCUACCUAUAAGACCGGGAUAACUUCGGGAAACCGGAGCUAAUACCGGAUAAUAUAUUGAACCGCAUGGUUCAAUAGUGAAAGACGGUUUUGCUGUCACUUAUAGAUGGAUCCGCGCCGCAUUAGCUAGUUGGUAAGGUAACGGCUUACCAAGGCAACGAUGCGUAGCCGACCUGAGAGGGUGAUCGGCCACACUGGAACUGAGACACGGUCCAGACUCCUACGGGAGGCAGCAGUAGGGAACCUUCCGCAAUGGGCGAAAGCCUGACGGAGCAACGCCGCGUGAGUGAUGAAGGUCUUCGGAUCGUAAAACUCUGUUAUUAGGGAAGAACAAAUGUGUAAGUAACUAUGCACGUCUUGACGGUACCUAAUCAGAAAGCCACGGCUAACUACGUG
rnacentral:rRNA from 1 species